UACGGGGGGGGCAAGCGUUGUUCGGAAUUACUGGGCGUAAAGGGUUCGUAGGUGGCCCGCUAAGUCAGACGUGAAAUCCCCGGGCUUAACCUGGGAACUGCAUUGGUGACUGGCAGGCUUUGAGUGUGGCAGAGGGAGGUAGAAUUCCACGUGUAGCAGUGAAAUGCGUAGAGAUGUGGAGGAAUACCGAUGGCGAAGGCAGCCUCCUGGGCCAACACUGACGCUCAUGCACGAAAGCGUGGGGAGCAAACGGG
rnacentral:rRNA from 1 species